UCGCGGCCUAUCAGCUUGUUGGUGGGGUGAUGGCCUACCAAGGCUUUGACGGGUAGCCGGCCUGAGAGGGCGACCGGCCACACUGGGACUGAGACACGGCCCAGACUCCUACGGGAGGCAGCAGUGGGGAAUAUUGCACAAUGGACGGAAGUCUGAUGCAGCGACGCCGCGUGAGGGAUGACGGCCUUCGGGUUGUAAACCUCUUUCGACAGGGACGAAGCGCAAGUGACGGUACCUGUAGAAGAAGCGCCGGCCAACUACGUGCCAGCAGCCGCGGUAAGACGUAGGGCGCGAGCGUUGCCCGGAUUUAUUGGGCGUAAAGAGCUCGUAGGCGGCUCAUUGCGUCAACGGUGAAAACCUGCGGCUCAACUGCAGGCUUGCCGUUGAUACGGGUGGGCUGGAGUUCGGUAGGGGAGACUGGAAUUCCUGGUGUAGCGGUGAAAUGCGCAGAUAUCAGGAGGAACACCGGUGGCGAAGGCGGGUCUCUGGGCCGAUACUGACGCUGAGGAGCGAAAGCGUGGGGAGCGAACAGGAUUAGAUACCCUGGUAGUCCACGCUGUAAACGUUGGGCGCUAGGUGUGGGGGGCCUCUCCGGUCCUCUGUGCCGCAGCUAACGCAUUAAGCGCCCCGCCUGGGGAGUACGG
rnacentral:rRNA from 1 species